rnacentral:rRNA from 1 species
UGCAGUCGAACGAUGAAGCCCUUCGGGGUGGAUUAGUGGCGAACGGGUGAGUAACACGUGGGCAAUCUGCCCUUCACUCUGGGACAAGCCCUGGAAACGGGGUCUAAUACCGGAUAACACUCUUCCUCGCAUGGGGAGGGGUUAAAAGCUCCGGCGGUGAAGGAUGAGCCCGCGGCCUAUCAGCUUGUUGGUGAGGUAGUGGCUCACCAAGGCGACGACGGGUAGCCGGCCUGAGAGGGCGACCGGCCACACUGGGACUGAGACACGGCCCAGACUCCUACGGGAGGCAGCAGUGGGGAAUAUUGCACAAUGGGCGAAAGCCUGAUGCAGCGACGCCGCGUGAGGGAUGACGGCCUUCGGGUUGUAAACCUCUUUCAGCAGGGAAGAAGCGAAAGUGACGGUACCUGCAGAAGAAGCGCCGGCUAACUACGUGCCAGCAGCCGCGGUAAUACGUAGGGCGCAAGCGUUGUCCGGAAUUAUUGGGCGUAAAGAGCUCGUAGGCGGCUUGUCACGUCGGUUGUGAAAGCCCGGGGCUUAACCCCGGGUCUGCAGUCGAUACGGGCAGGCUAGAGUGUGGUAGGGGAGAUCGGAAUUCCUGGUGUAGCGGUGAAAUGCGCAGAUAUCAGGAGGAACACCGGUGGCGAAGGCGGAUCUCUGGGCCAUUACUGACGCUGAGGAGCGAAAGCGUGGGGAGCGAACAGGAUUAGAUACCCUGGUAGUCCACGCCGUAAACGGUGGGAACUAGGUGUUGGCGACAUUCCACGUCGUCAGUGCCGCACCUAACGCAUUAAGUUCCCCGCC